rnacentral:tRNA from 1 species
CCUCUCGUAGCGUAGUUGUUAACGCGUCGGACCAACGAAAUGGGAGUCGUGAGUUCGAAUCUCACCGAGAAUA